UACAGAGGGUGCGAGCGUUAAUCGGAUUUACUGGGCGUAAAGCGUGCGCAGGCGGUCUGUCAAGUCGGAUGUGAAAUCCCCGGGCUCAACCUGGGAACUGCAUUCGAAACUGGCAGGCUAGAGUCUUGUAGAGGGGGGUAGAAUUCCAGGUGUAGCGGUGAAAUGCGUAGAGAUCUGGAGGAAUACCGGUGGCGAAGGCGGCCCCCUGGACAAAGACUGACGCUCAGGUGCGAAAGCGUGGGGAGCAAACAGGAUUAGAUACCCUGGUAGUCCACGCCGUAAACGAUGUCGAUUUGGAGGUUGUGCCCUUGAGGCGUGGCUUCCGGAGCUAACGCGUUAAAUCGACCGCCUGGGGAGUACGGCCGCAAGGUUAAA
rnacentral:rRNA from 1 species